rnacentral:rRNA from 1 species
AACGAACGCUGGCGGCAUGCCUAACACAUGCAAGUCGAACGAGAUCUUCGGGUCUAGUGGCGCACGGGUGCGUAACGCGUGGGAAUCUGCCCUUUGGUUCGGAAUAACAGUUGGGAACGACUGCUAAUACCGGAUGAUGACGAAAGUCCAAAGAUUUAUCGCCAGAGGAUGAGCCCGCGUAGGAUUAGCUAGUUGGUGUGGUAAAGGCGCACCACGGCGACGAUCCUUAGCUGGUCUGAGAGGAUGAUCAGCCACACUGGGACUGAGAAACGGCCCAGACUCCUACGGGAGGCAGCAGUGGGGAAUAUUGGACAAUGGGCGAAAGCCUGAUCCAGCAAUGCCGCGUGAGUGAUGAAGGCCUUAGGGUUGUAAAGCUCUUUUACCCGGGAUGAUAAUGACAGUACCGGGAGAAUAAGCUCCGGCUAACUCCGUGCCAGCCGCCGCCGUAA